rnacentral:rRNA from 1 species
AAGUCGAGGGGCAGCGCGGAAUAGCAAUAUCCUGGCGGCGACCGGCGGAAGGGUGCGUAACGCGUGAGCGACAUGCCCGUUGCCCGGGGACAACCGGUGGAAACGCCGACUAAUCCCCGAUGGGAUAUUGUGCCGCAUGGCACGAUAUUGAAAGUUACGGCGGCGACGGAUUUGGCUCGCGUCCGAUUAGCUAGUUGGCGGGGUAACGGCCCACCAAGGCUGCGAUCGGUAGGGGUUCUGAGAGGAAGGCCCCCCACAAUGGGACUGAGACACGGCCCAUACUCC